GCAUAAUCAUUAGUUUUUUAAUUGAGGACUGGAAUGAAGGGUUGAUACUAAAAGGGAGGUUUUGUUAAAUAAAUUUGAAUUUAAAUUAAUAGUAAAAAUGCUAUUAUAAAUUCUUGGGACGAGAAGACCCUAGAAGCUUUAAAUUUUAUAAAAUUUUUGAUUGGGGUAAUCAUUGAAGAUAAAAAUUUUUAAUUAAUUAAAUUAAUAUUUAUAAGUUACUCUAGGGAUAACAGCAUUAUUUAAUUAGCAAGUUCUUAUUAAUAAUUAAGUUUGUGACC
rnacentral:rRNA from 1 species